GACCAGCCUCCUCCAAAAUGCACUCUGCCUGUGAUUCGUGGCAAAAAGCUGGAAUAUCCCUGGCAGGUCUUAGACACUUUAAGAUUAAUUGCAUUGAACUUGAUACACAGAAAACAGCACCUUGAAAAUGAAUCAUCUGCUCAUUCAGUAUUUUCUAAUUACAAUCACUCCCUCUUGGGGCAUGGAGUUAAUUUACGGAGUUAAAAAAAAAAAAAAA
rfam:Camelus ferus unplaced genomic scaffold scaffold768, whole genome shotgun sequence.